CACGCGGCAGCUGCUGCUAUUUUGGGGGCCCCACGUGCUGCCCCCGCCCCUAUUUUUAGCCCUGGGCCCCCCCCCGGUGUCCCUUGGGUGCCCCCCCCCCGGUGUCCCCCGGGGGCCCCCCCCCCCCCCCCCCGGCACCCCCCUUGGGGCCCCCCCCCCCCCCCCCCCCCCGAUGUCCCCCCCCCCCCAAGGGGUGACUGGGGGGGGGGAGCACCCAUGGGACCCUCAGCAUGGGGGGGGCACCCAUGGGACCCACGGCACCCAUGGCACCCAUGGAACAAGGUGGGGCACCCACGGAACUCCCGGCACCAGGGGGCACCCAUGGGACCCACGGCACUGGGGGGGGCACCCAUGGGACCCAUGGGACCGAGUGGGGCACCCAUGGGACCCCCAGCACCCAUGGGACCCACAGCACCCCAAAGGACCCCAAACAGCACCCACAACACUGGGGGGGCACCCACAGCACCCAUGGGACCCACGGCACGAGGUGGGGCACCCAUGGGACCCACAGCACCCAUGGGACCCAUGGCAGCAGGGGGGCACCCUUGGGACCCACGGCACCCAUGGGACCCAUGGAAUAAGGUGGGGCACCCAUGGGACCCAUGGCACUGGGGGGGACACCCACGGGACCCACAGCACUGUGGGGGCACCCAUGGGACCCACGGCACGAGGUGGGGCACCCACAGCAGCACCCACGGGACCCACGGCACCCACAGCAGCACCACGUGUGCUGCAGGACCCACAGCACCCACGGCACCGGGCGGGGCGCCCACGGCACCCAUGGGACCCACGGCACCGGGUGGGGCACCCAUGGGAUCCACAGGACCGGCGGCACCGGGUGGGGCACCCACGGCACCCACGGGACGGACGGCUCGAGGUGGGGCACCCACGGCACCCCAAACAGCACCCACGGCACCGGGUGGGGCACCCCCAGCACCCACGGGACCCACGGCACCGGGUGGGGCACCCACAGGACCCACAGCACCCAUAGCAGUGCCGGGUGGGCUGUGGGACCCACGGCACCCAUGGGACCAAGGGGGGCACCCAUGGGACCCACGGCACCGGGUGGGGCACCCACGGCACCCCCAGCACCUGGUGGGGCACCCAUGGGACCCACGGCACUGGGGGGGCACCCAUGGGACCCACAGGACCGACGGCACUGGGUGGGGCACCCACAGCACCCAAGGGACCCACGACACCCCACGGGACACCAAACAGCACCCACAGCACCCCCAGCACCCAUGGGACCCCCAGCACGAGGUGGGGCACCCACAACACCAGGGGGGGAGCACCCCCAGCACCCAUGGGACCCACAGCACCCAUGGGACUCACGGCACCCCCACAGGACCCCGAACAGCACCCACGGCACCGGGUGGGGCACCCACAGCACCCACGGCACCCACGAGACGCACGGCACGAGGUGGGGCACCCAUGGGAGCCAUAGAACAAGGUGGGGCACCCACAGGA
rnacentral:lncRNA from 1 species